GGGGAGUUGUUCAUGGGUAAAAGAUUUGAAGGGAUAAAUUUAUUACUAACAGUGUAAUGCCAAGUUUUGAAAUGUUAUCACAUCAAUGAUGAUUGUCCUUUUAAUUAAUUGGCAGUCAAUAAACUGUGCAUUAAAUUAUAUUAAUAUAACAUGUCUCUGAUUUUUUUAAGUUUCAAUUUUACAUGUGAAACAAGACUUUACAACUUGCUUUUUAAAUUUGUACAGAAUUUUAAUAUUGAUUAUCUUGAUAAAUGUUUGUCUGAGUUAUACACUUUUUUCUUAGUUAUUGAAAUAAUCAUACAAAGGUUUUUUGUUUUUUAUUGAAAAUUAAAUGAUAAAAUUUCUUGCAUGUUAACUUAUUGUGAAAUUUAUAUCUUUGUGCAGUUAGUUGAGGCUGUUACAUCUUUUACUGAGAAGGAGAACACUAAAAUACCUUUUAUCAUACUGCAUUAUACAGCAUAUACUUAACAAUUUCAACAGUCAUAUAUAUAUAAAUCCCAGUAACUUUAUAUCAGCUGACAUAUCCUCUUUGUAUGAUCAAGGUAUUUCAUUUGUAUUUUAUUUCUUUGUAUAUUUUUGACUUUGGCGGUCCUUGUUUUAACAGUUUCCUGUGAUGUACCUAUCAGUGACAAAUAAAAAGUAGAAAC
rnacentral:sRNA from 1 species